rnacentral:lncRNA from 10 species
CCUGUCUCUCCCUUCAGGCCCCUCUGCUCCUUAUGAGUGGUGUUUUCCCUUGGUUUUGGAUGAGAAACACCCUUUCCCCUUCCAGAGGGAUUGUUUCUGUGGACCCCACCCUGAGUUUUCCCCUGGUUAGGCAACGGGCAGGUGGGGGUGGUGGAACCAACUCUUUAGAACCAGCAAUGACAAACAGAUCCCACUUGGGGGAAGUUGAUGUUAAGUGUCAUGGGUCCUCUGGAAUUUUCUGAAGCUUUCCUGUUUUUUUUUUUCUCCCCCUAACCAGCUCAACUGAUCUCCUGGGAUCUCUACUAAGAUGUUGGCAGCCCGGCCAGCUGGUCUGGCCCUGGACGUGCCUUCAUGGUCUGGUUAUGCUUCAUGACCUGCACUGUGGUCAGUGCCAUUUUGCAGACUCUGAUCACAGUGAAACGUUCCAUGGGAACUUGGGCCAUGAGAAACAUCCUUCCUAACCACGUGACUGCAGAAACAUCCUUAUCGCGUCCUCCUGGGCAAAGGCCCAACAGCCUGACUGCAGGGACAUCCUUGCCAUAUCCUGCUGGGCAGCAAGCUCUACCACCCAGAUCCCUCCCUCCCAGUCCCAUGAUUACCCCAGCCUGUGAGUGGCAGUUGGUGCUGGCACUAAGCUGGUUUCCUCCUCCCCAGGGUUUUGCUGGCAAUAAAGAUGUUGCUGUUGAAGCCACCAA